rnacentral:rRNA from 1 species
UGCAAGUCGAGCGAAUCAUGAUGGGAGCUUGCUCCCUGAUGAUUAGCGGCGGACGGGUGAGUAACACGUGGGUAACCUGCCUGUAAGACUGGGAUAACUCCGGGAAACCGGGGCUAAUACCGGAUAACUUUUUUCUUCGCAUGAGGGAGAAUUGAAAGAUGGCUUCGGCUAUCACUUACAGAUGGACCCGCGGCGCAUUAGCUAGUUGGUGAGGUAACGGCUCACCAAGGCGACGAUGCGUAGCCGACUUGAGAGGGUGAUCGGCCACACUGGGACUGAGACACGGCCCAGACUCCUACGGGAGGCAGCAGUAGGGAAUCUUCCGCAAUGGACGAAAGUCUGACGGAGCAACGCCGCGUGAGUGAUGAAGGUUUUCGGAUCGUAAAACUCUGUUGUUAGGGAAGAACAAGUAUCGUUCGAAUAGGGCGGUACCUUGACGGUACCUAACCAGAAAGCCACGGCUAACUACGUGCCAGCAGCCGCGGUAAUACGUAGGUGGCAAGCGUUGUCCGGAAUUAUUGGGCGUAAAGCGCGCGCAGGCGGUUUCUUAAGUCUGAUGUGAAAUCUUGCGGCUCAACCGCAAGCGGCCAUUGGAAACUGGGAGACUUGAGUGCAGAAGAGGAGAGUGGAAUUCCACGUGUAGCGGUGAAAUGCGUAGAGAUGUGGAGGAACACCAGUGGCGAAGGCGACUCUCUGGUCUGUAACUGACGCUGAGGCGCGAAAGCGUGGGGAGCGAACAGGAUUAGAUACCCUGGUAGUCCACGCCGUAAACGAUGAGUGCUAAGUGUUAGAGGGUUUCCGCCCUUUAGUGCUGCAGCUAACGCAUUAAGCACUCCGCCUGGGGAGUACGGCCGCAAGGCUGAAACUCAAAGGAAUUGACGGGGGCCCGCACAAGCGGUGGAGCAUGUGGUUUAAUUCGAAGCAACGCGAAGAACCUUACCAGGUCUUGACAUCCUCUUGACCUCCCUAGAAGAUAGGGAUUUCCCUUCGGGGACAGGAGUGACAGGUGGUGCAUGGUUGUCGUCAGCUCGUGUCGUGAGAUGUUGGGUUAAGUCCCGCAACGAGCGCAACCCUUUGACCUUAGUUGCCAGCAUUCAGUUGGGCACUCUAA